GACGAACGCUGGCGGCGCGCUUAACACAUGCAAGUCGAACGGAAAGGCCUGCUUUCCCUUGUGGAUUGCGGGUACUCGAGUGGCGAACGGGUGAGUAACACGUGAGUGAUCUGCCCCCAACUUGGGUAUAAGCCUGGGAAACUGGGUCUAAUUCCCGAUAGGACUGCAGGGUGGUGCCUGUGGUGGAAAACGAUUUUCUAGUGGUUGGGGAUGAGCUCGCGGCCUAUCAGCUUGUUGGUGGGGUAAUGGCCUACCAAGGCGGCGACGGGUAGCCGGCCUGAGAGGGUGGACGGCCACAUUGGGACUGAGAUACAGCCCAGACUCCUACGGGAGGCAGCAGUGGGGAAUAUUGCACAAUGGGCGGAAGCCUGAUGCAGCGACGCCGCGUGGGGGAUGACGGCCUUCGGGUUGUAAACUCCUUUCGACCGCGAGGAAGCCACCUGGUUGGAAGGGUGGUGACGGUAGUGGUAGAAGAAGCACCGGCUAACUACGCG
rnacentral:rRNA from 1 species